rnacentral:ncRNA from 1 species
CUCUGGUUCCACAUGAGUUCCAGGGCGGAAAGAG